rnacentral:rRNA from 1 species
UACGGAGGGUGCAAACGUUGCUCGGAAUCAUUGGGCGUAAAGCGCACGUAGGCGGACCGCUAAGUCGGAUGUGAAAGCCCUCGGCUUAACCGAGGAAGUGCAUUCGAAACUGACAGUCUUGAGUAUGGAAGAGGGUCGCGGAAUUCCCGGUGUAGAGGUGAAAUGCGUAGAUAUCUGGAGGAACACCGGUGGCGAAGGCGACAUCCUGGACCGGUAUUGACGCUGAGGCGCGAAAGCCAGGGGAGCAAACGGG